AACGAACGCUGGCGGCAGGCUUUACACAUGCAAGUCGAACGCAUGCCUUCGGUCAGGCGUGGCAGCCGGGUGCGUAACGCGGGGGAACGUACCCCUUGGUACGCGAUAGCGCGGGGAAACUGGAGAUAAUCCCGUAUGUGUCCUGAGGGACAAAGAUUCAUCGCCAAGGGGUGGGACCGAGUCGGAUUAGCUAGUUGGUGGGGUGACGGCCUACCAAGGCGACGAGACGUAGCUGGUCAAAGAGGAUGAUCAGCGACACUGAGAGUGAGACACGGUGCAAACUCCUGCAGGAGGGAGCAGUGGGGAAUAUUGGACUAUGGCCUCAGGGAUGAUCCAGCUAGGCCUGGUGAGUGAUGAAGUCCCGAGAGUAGUAAAGCUCGUUCAUCGGUGGCGAUAAUGACGGUACCCGAAGAAUAAGCCCCGGCUAACUACGUG
rnacentral:rRNA from 1 species